rnacentral:sRNA from 1 species
CAUGAUCCCGUCUAACUUGGCAC